CUGCAACCCUUCAUCGAUAGGUUCGCGGGCAGACUACCAGGAUGGAAAGUAAAACUGCUCAACAAGCCUGGCAGGGUGGCACUCGCACAGUUUGUCCUCACGGCCAUGGCCACCUUUCACAUCACAGCUCUCAACCUGUCAAAGGGGACCCUGAGAAAGAUUGACAAAAUCAUUCAGGCCUUCAUCUGGCCAAAAGAGGACCAAUCUCAGACCUCGGGAGGACACUCCCUUGUUAACUGGAAGUCCAGACCACUUGCCGCUUGA
rnacentral:rRNA from 1 species